GACGAACGCUGGCGGCGUGCUUAACACAUGCAAGUCGAACGGAAAGGCCCUGCUUUUGUGGGGUGCUCGAGUGGCGAACGGGUGAGUAACACGUGAGUAACCUGCCCUUGACUUUGGGAUAACUUCAGGAAACUGGGGCUAAUACCGGAUAGGAGCUCCUGCUGCAUGGUGGGGGUUGGAAAGUUUCGGCGGUUGGGGAUGGACUCGCGGCUUAUCAGCUUGUUGGUGGGGUAGUGGCUUACCAAGGCUUUGACGGGUAGCCGGCCUGGGAGGGUGACCGGCCACAUGGGGACUGCGAUACGGCCCAGACUCCUACGGGAGGCAGCAGUGGGGAGUAUUGCACAAUGGGCGGAAGCCUGAUGCAGCAACGCCGCGUGCGGGAUGACGGCCUUCUGGUUGUAAACCGCUUUCGCCUGUGACGAAGCGUGAGUGACGGUAAUGGGUAAAGAAGCACCGGCUAACUACGUG
rnacentral:rRNA from 1 species